UACGUAGGAUGCAAGCGUUGUCCGGAAUUAUUGGGCGUAAAGAGCUCGUAGGCGGCUCGUCGCGUCGACCGUGAAAACCCGCGGCUUAACUGCGGGCUUGCGGUUGAUACGGGCGGGCUAGAGUUCGGUAGGGGAGACUGGAAUUCCUGGUGUAGCGGUGAAAUGCGCAGAUAUCAGGAGGAACACCGGUGGCGAAGGCGGGUCUCUGGGCCGAUACUGACGCUGAGGAGCGAAAGCGUGGGGAGCGAACAGG
rnacentral:rRNA from 1 species